AAGCGUGUUGUCACUGUGUUAGUAUUGUUAAUAAUACACGUGAGCAUAAACGUUUCUGUGUGCCAUACAAACCAUUUUUCAGAACGUUCCGAAUGGUUUGGUUUGUUCACACACUCAAACCAAAUAUUCGCUUUAGUUUGGUUUCGAUCCCUGAUUUGGAUUUUAGUUCAUAGCUUUCAUUCAAUAAUUUCGUAUAACAAAAUAUGUUGAGAAUGAUUCUUAGCGGUGAAAAUACUUUAGAGCAUUUGCAGUUUGGUUAACACAGUUAGUGCGAUCAUUGAAUUACGUGUAUAAAAUAUAGAGAGAGAGACUCAAAUUAAUCAAGCGUGAAUAUUCGUUUUGCGAUGUCGUCAAUCAUCCAGUCGAUUGAUGCUAAGAGCUUCUCGCCAGUUACAGCACUCACUCCCACGACGCUCCAAUGAUGCGUUUCAAUUUUGUCCAAUUCCAAAAUCUGCGACGGAAAAAGCAAAUGAAUUUCGUUGCACAAGUUUGUUUAUGGUUUUGCGCGUUUUUCAAGUUGUUAUUUGACAACUAAAACGCGUUACAAACUAAAAAUCGGUUGUUUACGUGUAUAAAGAUUUUUCACAUCCUUUCCAAAAGUUCAAAGAUUUAUAUAAUUAUAAAAUGGACAAAGGAAAUAUUUUUAAAGAGCUGGAGAAAGUGUUGGAAGAAAAAGUUAAUCCAGAUAGAUAUAACAAAUGGAACGACUGAUGUGUGCGCGUCGUCCAGCUUCAUGUUUGCACACAAACUCGCACAAGUUCGCGCAUGUUGUUUUAAUACGGAACUUGUCAACUGAGUGGAAUCAUGCAAGUUCUCUGGUGAAUGAAACAAUUUCGUGCGCGUUUAUAUCAUUUUUUUACAAGUUUUCACGUAGUUAAAUCCCCCUAGGAAAAACCUGCAAUCGUCAGCCUUUUAUUCUCAGCAGCUCAUAUAUAUAUACUUUUUCUGUUUUUUCUUCUCUUUCUCUCUUUAUUUAGAUAAUCGUUUAUGUCAAGAGUUGAAUACUGCAAUCAGUCGUUUUCUGCAUCACCGUGAAUAUGUUGAAGACGUCAUCACAACAGCCAAGAAGAUUUGAUCGCCAGAUUCGCCAAUUUACUUCAACAGCGCAUUCCAAAUCAAGGCGAUCAAGACAAUCAAGUCAAUGACCGAGGUGAGAUCGAAAGUCGUCGGCCAAUUCGCUUUUGGUUACCCAGCUGAAUGCGCCGCAAGCUCAAUUUGCAUCUUUACAGCGCCUCAUAAACUGGCCACCAGGCGAUCCAGGCGAUGUAAUGCUUAACAUCGAUGUUUCGUCAGAAGCAGGGGGCGUUUAUCUACAGGCUGAUCGAGUCUUCAGCUAUGCCGAGGCCGCCACAAUUUCAUGAGGGCGACGACUAUUUGGUGCGACGCACAAUUAUGAUUUUAGCGCGAAAGCCUGCUGUUGAGCUACCUCCACCGCCACCAACACAAACACCAAUGCCAUUGGUAUCGUCGCCGUCACCACCUGAAAAUAAUGAUGAUGAUGUUGUCAAUGAUGUCGUGAAAAAGCAACGAAAAAUCAAAAAAAAAAAUCAAAACUAAAAAAGAGAAAAAGGAGAUUUAGAACGCAAAUCUCUUUGUUAAAUUUCGAAUCGAUUAAUUGCUCAUAUUUAUCAAAAACGCCAUGCCUUCAUGCCAUGAAUCGUAAACAGAUGAUUAGCCGAAUUACAAGCGAUAAAAUAGCAAAGGAAGCUCAUCCAUACGCCAAAACAUAUUUUUCUUUGAUAAUACAUUUACUUGUUCUGAAAUAUGUGUGCAUUCAAAGGGUUAGACACAAAUUCAUACUCAACAAACACUCGGCGAUACUAGAAUCUACUCGAUGCUACUCGGUGCCAUUUGGUUCAGUGUAAUGUGUAGUAUACACAGAGAACUGUCAAAGUCAACUGAGUGUUUUGAGUAGUUUCGAGUUUACAUUUAAAAUGCAUGGAGUUACUCGGAACUACUCGGUGCAAAAUGAGACAAAUUCGUCAAAACUUGUACGUUAAAAAACUGUGUCUACCCCCUUGUGUGCAUUGGUUCCUCUAGUGAACACUUCAUUUGGUUCUUUAUUAUGCAGAGUAACUGCGUGUACACCUGGAAAUAAUAGCUACAAAGUAGGAAUGGUUAUCGAUGAGGACUAUCCUCAGAUAGGAAACGUUGAAGAGUUUGUUGACGAUCCAAUUAAUCCACAUGUAUGCCAACUCAAUGAAGGAACAUCACAUUUGCUUGUGUCACAGCCAAAUCAUCCGAACAACACUUAUUCAGACAAAAGAAAUCAAUCGAAUGAUGCUGCAAUGUACUAUUUUUCUAAGGAGAGCAGAGUGUCGAAGCUAAAAUCAAAGCGACAACCGAAGAAAAAGAAUAAUGGGACAAUUGAAGUGCUUUGUAAUCAAUAAAUUUGAUUAAAAUGAUUCGAAUCACUUCGAGUUUAUUGUAAAAAAAAAACAUAUGUAU